rnacentral:rRNA from 1 species
UACGAAGGGGGGCUAGCGUUGCUCAGAUUGACUGGGCGUAAAAGGGGCGCGUAGGCGGUUCGUACAGUCAGACGUGAAAUUCCUGGGCUCAACCUGGGGGGCUGCGUUUGAUACGUGCGGACUUGAGUGCGGAAGAGGGUCGUGGAAUUCCCAGUGUAGAGGUGAAAUUCGUAGAUAUUGGGAAGAACACCGGUGGCGAAGGCGGCGACCUGGUCCGAUACUGACGCUGAGGCGCGAAAGCGUGGGGAGCAAACAGG